rnacentral:rRNA from 1 species
AUACGUAGGGUGCAAGCGUUAAUCGGAAUUACUGGGCGUAAAGCGUGCGCAGGCGGUUUUGUAAGACAGUGGUGAAAUCCCCGGGCUCAACCUGGGAACUGCCAUUGUGACUGCCAGGCUGGAGUGCGGCAGAGGGGGAUGGAAUUCCGCGUGUAGCAGUGAAAUGCGUAGAGAUGCGGAGGAACACCGAUGGCGAAGGCAAUGCCCUGGGCCUGCACUGACGCUCAUGCACGAAAGCGUGGGGAGCAAACAGGAUUAGAUACCCUGGUAGUCCACGACCUAAACGAUGUCAACUGGUUGUUGGGGAUUUAUUUUCUCAGUAACGAAGCUAACGCGUGAAGUUGACCGCCUGGGGAGUACGGCCGCAAGGUUAAAACUCAAAGGAAUUGACGGGG